GGGGUUAUAGCUCAGUGGUAGAGCAUCUGCUUUGCAUUCAAAAGGUCCCUGGUUCAAUCCCUGACAACUCCA